CUCGGUGGCCGUGCCAUCCUGCAAGUGCUCGAUCCUGUCUGAUCCUGAAAGCUAAGCAGGACCAGGCCUGGUCCCAUCGUUGGAUGGGAGACCACCUUGGAAGACCAAGGACCACUAGAC
rnacentral:rRNA from 12 species